UCCAAGAGUACUGUUACUGAUUUCGCUGCUCAUAUUGUUGCGGCUUGGGCCAUCAGGAGCUCCUUCGGGGUGGCCCCCGAGCCUGUCUGCAGGUCCCCAUCCUUUCUUGAGCGCUUGCCUACUUUGUGGCACUGCAGGACCCUCCAGGCUCAUCUUGGAUUUCCCCGCCCCGGCCCUGGAAUCAGCCACUUCCUUCAUCUGUACGUGUUGGCGGACUUGGAGCACUUUUUCCACCAGGAAAGGAGGGUGUGGUGAAGGCGGAAGGGCCGUGCUCCCGCCCUCAUCUCCCAGCCGGGGUCCCAGACACGGGUUCUCCCCCAGCUCCGAGGUCUUCCCUGCAGGAAGGGUGUGACGAGCCGCAGGUGGGUGGCCUCUUUGUGGUCCUCGUGCGGGCUCCCUGGGGGCAGUGUCUGGGGCGCGGAGCUUGUCCUCAGAGCUGCAGGGUGGGGACUCAGAGCCUCGCUAGAAGAGGACGGUCUCAUCGCCAACAGCGCAGCUGCAGUCCCUCAGCCCAACUCCCCCUCCUCCCCACUCACGUGCACCUGCUCCCCUCCCAAAUCUCUGGGGAAGGGGGGACGGUGGGAAGCGAACCCCAGUCAGAGGGACGGGAGUCUCAUUCCUAGUGGCUCAAACACUUUCUCUUAUUUAGACACGAGCUUAGGAUUUUAAAAUUUUAAUUUCUCCAGGUCAUUCUGACCCGUAUGUGUCUCUGUUUCAAGUCUGUGUUUUUACUUUGCAAGUAACAGAAUGCUCAGCUCAAACCAGCUUAAGCAAUACAGGUUUCAGUGACUCAAGUCACUGCAGAGACCUGGGUGGACUGCAGGUACCACGUGAUCAGGGUUCAGCCUCCAUUUCUGGGAGAGAGAGAGAAGGGGAGAAUGACCUUUUCUCUUUCACGCAUCAUCAAAACAACAGCAAACAAACAGCUCAUGCCCUGAUGGGACGACCUGCCACUCAGAACCGGAAACGCCAGUGGCCCGGAAGCCUGCGACACUCCCGACCCGCCUACACUGGCGCCUGGAAGGGAAUCCCGGGGCACUGCCACGUGACCGGGCUCGGCCAAUCGGGGCCGCCGACUCUGCCUCCAGAACGCGGUGCUGAAGGCGCUCCUGCGCAUGCCCGGCCUACGUGCGCUGGUGCCUCCCAUUGGCCGAGCCAGCUCACGUGGCCGCACCCCGCCGCAAGGGCGGCUGGGAGGACGUCUCGGGCUGUCGGCGUCGUGAGGCUCGGCCGCUGCGGGUGUGGGACCGCACGGAGGCGGCGCGGUGCUGACCCGUCCUGAAGUGGGGGUGGGGGGGACGGGCGACAGGGGUUGGCGGAUGUCACAGUGGCGCUUUCUCUCCGUGUGGCCGCCGGUGCAGGGGCUGCUCGGUUUCCUGGGCGCUGAGUGGCAGUUCACUGGGUGGGCCGGGCAGCAGAGACUGCAGACCCCUGACCCUGUGACCUCUGACCUUGGGACCGUGGACGCCAGGGCCCCUGACUCUGGGACUCUUGGACCCCUGACUCCAGAAAGAGACUGCUGACCCCUGGACAGUGAAUGGACGGACAACCUCAACAGUGUCACGCUGAGAGAAAAAAGCCGGACACACAAGACCACAUGUGAUCAUGUGAAACCAUUUAUGUGAAACAUUUAGAAGAGACGAGACUUUAGAGAUGGGCAGGGUUCCAGGUGAUGCCGAAGAGGACAGGGUGGAGAAGGCAGAGGGCAAGGGCCAUCAGGGGCCUGUGGAAGAGCACCCCGAGGGCAGCCGACGUCCCUGCGGCCAUUGAAGACGUCGGCCCCAGAACCUGGGCUCAGAGAGCAGCCACAUCAGGGGCUCUGAGGGGACGGCCCCCUGCGGCCUAGGCUGCAGGGACCCAAGCUGUGUGCAGAUUCAGGCCCCCACCCAGCCUCUCCGGGGGCCCUGCUGCCUGUCCUCACUUGUGUGGGGCUCCUGCCACCUGGUGUCCAGAGAGGGCACUACAAUGAGCAGCCAGCCCCCCACAGUGCAGAGGCCCAGAAGGCCUGGGGCUGGGGUCACCCGGAGGUUAGAUCUAAGGAAGAAGGAGCCACUUCUCAAAAUGUGCAUUAAUUACCGAAACACAAAGACAGGCAUACAAAAUAAUUAACAAUAAAUAUUUUUAAUUAAAUUUUCAAACAUCAAGCAAAAAUGUUAAUAUUUGAUUGUUGGAAAAUACACAUGGCAUUUUUUUCCUUGUGUUAACAUAAAUAUUUGGCUUAUGGAAAUAACACUCACUUAAAACGAAACCUUUUAGGCACUUGGGUGUAGAAAGUGCUAGAGAAUAAAAUACAAUUUUACUUUAUUGCUACUCGUAAGAGAGC